CUUUCCUUAUCCCUGUCUGGCUGUUAUUGGCUCUCAGCUAGGCGGACCCGAUAUUUCGGUGACAGUUUCUGGCAACUCCGCCGGGACUCUCCUAGCUCGGACAUUGGACUCCGGAUGGCUGCGGCGAACUGGGAACGGCGCCAACGGGUGCUUAGCCCCUUUUCUUCACUUCGCAGCCCCUGUGGUUCGUGCUCCGAUAAGGUAUGCGGCUCAGUUUCAGACCCUACCUGCUGAGGUACCUGCUCACCGGAUCAAGCCAGAGGACUGGGUCUAUGUCAAAGAAUGAAAACAUGAGCCUCUCCAGCCCCAGUGGGCGGGCCCCUUCCAAGUCCUUCUUCCCUCUCACACUGCCAUUCGAGUGAAAGAGCGAGACACUUGGAUACACCACACCCGAGUCAAGCUAGCCUUUAGGACGGGGCCAGAAGCAGACGACUUCGGACCUCGAGGGAGCACCGCCAGCUCUUCCCACCGCGACCCGGAAGAGCCAGAAGCAGAUGAUACCUGGAAAGCUGAACCUCUCGAGGGACUAAAGCUUCUGUUCUGGCGAACAAAGUCCUAAGACAUUAUAACUAUGGGUUCUCAGACGGUGCUGCAGUGGCUAUGACUUUUGGGUCUGCCCCUCGUACAAGCUAACCCACACCCAGCUGCUAAACUUCUUCAGCGAAUGGCCACCUUGGGACACUUGUCUGAUUGUUGGCUGUGUCACAAAACCUGCUCUGAGGAAGGAAUAGGGUUGUGGGCUGUACCUGCAAAUCUCUCUGAAGUACUCUCCUUACAGGUAGUACGGAAAACUGAAUGGGCAUGGGUUGGGGAAUAUCAAUAUGACAAAUAUGGGAG